rnacentral:antisense_RNA from 1 species
GGUAUCGAAAGAUAAUCGCUGGAUUUAAUGUCGGAUUAGAGAUCAAUCUUACAUCUCCACCACCUGGAGCCCAUGUAUCAUACACACCGGAGAUAAACAUGGCUUUGAUCACUAGAAGGAAAGCACCUACUCCUAAAAGAAUUAAAUGAAUUCCUAAAAUGGUGGUCAUUUUGUUUUUAUCUCUCCA